UACGUAGGGGGCAAGCGUUGUCCGGAUUUACUGGGCGUAAAGAGCGUGUAGGCGGCCAAACAGGUCCGUUGUGAAAACUGGAGGCUCAACCUCCAGCUGUCGACGGAAACCGUAUGGCUAGAGUCCGGAAGAGGAGAGCGGAAUUCCUGGUGUAGCGGUGAAAUGCGCAGAUAUCAGGAAGAACACCAAUGGCGAAGGCAGCUCUCUGGGACGGUACUGACGCUGAGACGCGAAAGCGUGGGGAGCGAACAGG
rnacentral:rRNA from 1 species